AUUGAACGCUGGCGGCGUGCCUAACACAUGCAAGUCGAGCGGUAACAGGUGUAGCAAUACAUGCUGACGAGCGGCGGACGGGUGAGUAACGCUUGGGAAUCUGCCUAUCAGUGGGGACGAACCGGGAAACCGAUCGGCGUAAUACCGCAUACGAUCUACGGAUGAAAGCCGGGGACCGCAAGGCCUGGCGCUGAUAGAUGAGCCCAAGUCGGAUUAGCUAGUUGGUAGGGUAACGGCCUACCAAGGCGACGAUCCGUAACUGGUCUGAGAGGACGACCAGUCACACCGGAACUGAGAUACGGUUCGGACUCCUACGGGAGGCAGCAGUGGGGAACUAUUGGACAAU
rnacentral:rRNA from 1 species